UUAGUACGAUCGCACUGGACAUUUUGUGGAAGAGUAAGGGAUCACGAUUUGCAGUUCGAGUGCCAUCAGUUCGAGUCGCCAAAGAAGCAAGCAAAAUCAAUCCAAACCCAAAUCGCAAAGAAGACUUCCGCUCACCGUCACUCUCUCUGGGCAGAUUGAUCAAUAAAAAUGAGGUGGCAGUAAAAAAACUUCUUAAAAAAUAGAACAAGAAGAGAGAAUUCAUAAUUGAAGUGGAGGCUAUAGGUCAUGUUAGAGAUAAAUAUCUUGUGUGCCUGUUUGGAGGGAGUUAAACAGAGUAAUGGAUGCAUGUUGCCAUGGAACAAGGAACACUUACCUGGGAGGUUCGCAUGCUCGAUAGUUACCUGGC